rnacentral:ncRNA from 1 species
AGUUUUAUUCUUGCUUAAGUAUUUAUUUUUUGAAUAAUUUACAUGUAGAUUUUUGUAUGUAUAGAAAUAAUUUAAAUAAUAUAUUAUAUUUAUUCGCAGUAUUUGAUAUUAAUCAUUAGAGAGAUUUAGAAUUAGUAAUUUAAUAAAAAUUAGCCAAAGGCGUGCCAGCAGCUGCGGUUAUACGUGAAAUUUAAGUAAAUAUUAUUAGUUAAAAGUUGAUUUUGAUUUAGAUAAUUAAAUAGUUAUUUUGGAAGGUGAAAUUUUAAAGUUAGGAUUAUAAUUAAAUUAUUAUAAUGAAGCUUUGAUAAUUGAAAUAUAAACUAGGAUUAGAUACCCUAUUAUUUUAAUUGUAAAUGUUAAUUCUAGGGUAGUAGUAGGUAAGGACUUGAAACCCAAAGGAUUUGGCGGUACUUUAAUUCUUAUUAGAGGAAUCUGUCCUAUAAUCGAUAAUACACGUUAAAGUUAACUUAAUUUAGUUUAAUUCAGUAUGUAUACCGCCGUCAUCAGAUUAUCUUAAAAGGGAAAAAUUUUCUGGAACUGAAAAAGAAGCAUAGAGAGGAGGAAAUAUAAUAAAUAUUUAGUUAUAGGAAAAUAUGUCAGGUCAAGGUGCAGCUAAUAAUUAAGAAGGAGAUGGAUUACAAUAAAAUUAUUUAAACGGAUUGAUUUUUGGGAUAUAUUAAAAUAAUGAAGGUGAAUUUAAAUGUAAUGGUGUUAUAGUAUAGCAGUAUGAUGAUAGCUCUGAAGUAUGUACAUAUCGCCCGUCACUCUCAUUCAUAAGAUGAGAUAAGUCGUAACAAAGUAGAUGUACUGGAAAGUGUAUCUAGAAAGU